rnacentral:rRNA from 1 species
UACCAGACUCCUACGGGAGGCAGCAGUGGGGGAUAUUGCACAAUGGGGGGAACCCUGAUGCAGCGACGCCGCGUGGGUGAAGAAGUAUUUCGGUAUGUAAAGCCCUAUCGGCAGGGAAGAAAUUGGACGGUACCUGACUAAGAAGCCCUGGCUAACUACGUGCCAGCAGCCGCGGGAAUACGUAGGGGGCAAGCGUUAUCCGGAUUCACUGGGUGUAAAGGGGGCGCAGACGGCGAUGCAAGCCAGGAGUGAAAGCCCGGGGCCCAACCCCGGGACUGCUCUUGGAACUGCGUGGCUGGAGUGCAGGAGGGGCAGGCGGAAUUCCUGGUGUAGCGGUGAAAUGCGUAGAUAUCAGGAGGAACACCGGUGGCGAAGGCGGCCUGCUGGACUGCAACUGACGUUGAGGCCCGAAAGCGUGGGGAGCAAACAGGAUUAGAUACCCGAGUA